UGGCUUUAUAGUCAAUAAUGACAUUAGACUGCAAUUCUAAAGGAGUAAAUAUUUACUAAGGCUU
rnacentral:tRNA from 1 species